UACGUAGGGUGCAAGCGUUAAUCGGAAUUACUGGGCGUAAAGCGUGCGCAGGCGGUUUUGUAAGCCAGAUGUGAAAUCCCCGGGCUUAACCUGGGAAUGGCAUUUGGGACUGGCAAGGCUGGAGUGCGGCAGAGGAGACUGGAAUUCCUGGUGUAGCAGUGAAAUGCGUAGAUAUCAGGAGGAAUACCGAUGGCGAAGGCAGGUCUCUGGGCUGACACUGACGCUCAUGCACGAAAGCGUGGGGAGCAAACAGG
rnacentral:rRNA from 1 species